AAAGCAACAUGGACUUGCCAGCUGCUCAAUCCAUUGAGGACUCCACUGACAAGAUGCUGUUAUUUUAAGGGGAGGAAAAAAAGGAAACAAAAAAAGCCACUUCAAAUAGUUCAGCUAGUCGCAAAUCUGAAUCAAGUCAGCAGAACAUCAGACAUGGAGAUGAGAGAAAUGCAGCUGAUUUGAACGUUGAGGGUGUGAAAACUUCAGGAAGUUCCUAGAAGAUCUGGGAUAUCUACAGAAAGGAAACAAGCAAAACUCCUCACUGCUACCAAGAGGAGAAGAGUUACAGGUGCUCAGGAUUUGAGUAGAAAGGAAUAGGAAUGGAGCUGAACAGAUCCAACACCUGAAAGGAUGAUUGGAUCUCAAAAUAUGAAACCAGGAAAAAGACCCUUCAUUCAAUAAAGCACCAGGACUGGCUCUAUGGAGAGGUAAGCAGCAUUUGGUAAGUCUAACAAAUGAGCAUAGCAAUUUUUUAGGGCUCAUUAUAACUUAUAUUGUGCCAAAGGGUUUGUUACAGCUGAUUACACACCUCAGGAGCUAAGAGGAUGUGAGGGGGAUGGCAGAUGUCAGGGGAUUCAUCUUUAUUAGGAGGUGGCGAACCUGCUUGUCACAUAAUGUUCAAAAGUUGCUGCUGGGAUGGAAGCAAAGAAGAAAGCCCUGGAGACGGGUUAGUGCUGGGACACAGACACUAUCCUGGAGGGGCGUGGGACAGGGUAUGUAACCAUAGUGACCAGUGGGUCCUUUCCCCACUGUGAUCCUGGCUCGCAUGCACAGGGUGAAACCGAUCGCCAUGUUUGGGGUCAGGAAGGAAUUUUCCUCCAGGGCAG